rnacentral:lncRNA from 13 species
ACAAACCUUCACCUAGCUAACUCCUGUGCAUCCCUUAGGCCUUAAAUUACAUAUCCUAUUUUAGAGACGUUAUCUCUGAUCCCUCAGCAUGAAUUGGGUGCUUCCUUGCUAAAUUGGGGAGGACUCAAGAUGGCGCUGUGAGAACAACCCAGGAUUGAAGCUCUCAUUGAAUCUGUGGAGAGGGACAUGGAUGAAUCUGGAGAACAUCAUCCUCAGCAAACUGACACAAGAACAGAAAAUGAAACACCGCAUAUUCUCACUCAUAGGUGGGUGAUGAAAAAUGAGAACACAUGGACACAGGGAGCUCUGAAUACUAUGUACCUAGUGGACCACAGGAAGCAAGAACAGAGGGCGGAGAGCAUCUAGGAGGCUACUGAGUAAUCCAGGGACAUGGAUGAAUCUGGAGAACAUCAUCCUCAGCAAACUGACACAAGAACAGAAAAUGAAACACCGCAUAUUCUCACUCAUAGGUGGGUGAUGAAAAAUGAGAACACAUGGACACAGAAAGGGGAGUACUAAACACUGGGGUCUAUUGGGGGGAAAAGGGGAGGGCCAGUGGGAGGGGGAGGUAGGGAGGGAUAGCCUGGGGAGAAAUGCCAAAUGUGGGUGAAGGGGAGAAGAAAAGCAAAGCACACUGCUAUGUGUGUACCUAUGCAACUGUCUCGCAUGCUCUGCUCAUGUACCCCAAAACCUAUAAUCAAAUAAAAAAUUUAAAAAAAAAAAAAAAGUUCA